rnacentral:rRNA from 1 species
UACGGAGGGUGCGAGCGUUGUUCGGAAUCACUGGGCGUAAAGCGCGUGUAGGCGGCCCAUUAAGUCUGAUGUGAAAGCCCGGGGCUCACCCCCGGAAGUGCAUUGGAAACUGAUGGACUCGAGUCCCGGAGAGGAGAGUGGAAUUCCUGGUGUAGCGGUGAAAUGCGUAGAUAUCAGGAGGAACACCGGUGGCGAAGGCGGCUCUCUGGACGGUGACUGACGCUGAGACGCGAAAGCGUGGGGAGCAAACAGG